AAAAGGCAUUUAUUACAUGAGUCAUUAGUGACAGAAAUAACAUUUUAUCUAUUUAUAGUUUGAGAGCUUAUCUGAUGUUCCAUUUUGGAAAAAAAAUGUGUAAACUCUCAUUCAAAUGUUCUACAUCAUGGCCUUGUGCUUCAGCUUAUCAUCAGUUCAUUAGUUCCAUUAGUUCACUGCAUAGUAGAACACCAGCAUAUUGGUUCAAUUUCCCGACAUACAUAUGUAACACAUCUGCUAGUAGGAACACGGUAAAUUUAUGGUUGUUUAUUUUGUCUUAUUUUUGCAGUUUUCCUUACACAGAAGCAUGAAUGGUCAAAAAACAAAACAAAACAAAACAAAAAAACCUGCUGUCCAGUGAUGAGACAGUCUCAUGCAUUCUCAAAUCUUCAAUAGGUAGCAAAUGCCAACUUGCAAAAUACUCUCUACAAGUACAAAUGCAGUUCACAACUUAUGGAACUACCACUAAAGAGACAGGUAGAAAAUAGAAAGCAACUUCAAUCAAAAAGACAUCCUACCAACAAACAAAAAAGUGUGAAUUGUUUUCUAAGCCUCCUCAAAUUAUUUCACCGUAGAAAAAAAAGAGAAUGAUGUUUUAAUAUUUUUUCAAACUUCUAAAAAAUGUCAGACAAUAGAUUAAUUCUCUUCUUGUCAUUUUUAUUUUAUUUUCUUCCUCGUUGGAGAAAAGAGAUUCAAUUUAUGAUAGUGGGCAAACAAAUGAACAGUGAGUUUUAUAUUUAACACCAACAAGCUAACACUGUAACAUGUUUCUGAGGUUUUUCAGAACAACUAUUUUAGCUUCUUUGAUUGUAUGAUGACAUUAAUAUUCAGCCUACAUUGGAAGAAAUCAGAAAGAGCCAUGUUACAGUUUCUACUGUGCUUGUUUGUGAACUGAAGCGUACGCUGACAUCCUGUAGUAGAACCAAGGAUUGCGAGCACCAUAGUUCAUAAACCUGCUUUUCUCAGAUUUCGCUAUGUUAGAAUAUAAAUGCUUGAGACAUUUAACUCAAUAGGACUGUCUUCUCUUGUUUUGCCUUCAAGAAAAAGACAACUAACCUAAAAAUAAUUGCAGUAUUGCAUUAAUUUUGGAGCAGUUAUUUUACAGUCAUGGUGCUUGAUGAAGAACAGCAUAAACAGAUGUAUAUAGCACGUUAGAAACUGCAAAUCUCAGAUGGUAAAUUUGGUUGUGCUAUUUGUGUUGGGUGUAAGAAAUUAAAGUUUAAAUCCUGCUUCUUUCAGAUAGAUUUAGAACGGGGAUUUGAAAAUUGGUGUUCUUAGUAAUUAUCCUAAUCACCUCAUCACUUGUGAACACUUUUCCUCUUUCUUUCCCAUUGAGAUAUUCAGAAUAUUUUCUGUCAGAUAGAAAUUGAAGAUAGCAAAAAAUUUUUUUCCUAAUAUCCAGUUUGAAUUUUGCCUGGUGCAGCUUUGUUCCAUUCCCAUAUAUCCUGUCGCUGGUGACAAGAGAGAAGAGACUAGCAUCUCCCUCUCUCUUUUUCCACUCCUCUAGAAGUUGUAGAGAGUAAGGAGGUUACUUCUCAGCCCUCUUUUCUCCAGGCUAGAUAAACAAAGUGUCCUUUGCCUCUCCUCAUAUGAUAUGCCUUCCAAUGCUUCUACCCGCUUUCUUGUCCUCCUCUUAAUAUCCUUUUAAUAUUACAUAUUUACAUUGUUCUUCAUCUAUUUCACAACCAGGAUAUUCAAGGAAACAAAGCAUUUAGGUAAAUCAGGUACUUCCAGACUUCCACAUCGUGGCUUGAGAACAGUUAUCGUGGAACAAUCACCCCUGGUAGGACAGGCAAGUACACACUCCCUACACAUGGCUGGGGAACAGUAAAUGGGGUAGAUAUCAUGCAUUUCUUCAAUUCAUGCUUGCCCUUGUUAUACUGGUUCAAGCUGUACUUUGUCCUUGCCUUGAAACCUCCAUCACACAAAUU
ensembl:lncRNA